CAGAGAAGUCCACUACCCCACCAACUCAGGACGUAGCUCUUAUGGAUUUGUGAUUGGGGGGGGGGGGGAUGAAAUUUAUCUUUAGUUUUCUCAAAGCAGAUUCCAUAGUUAAUUCUCAAGUGCAUCAGGAAAUCUGAUCAAUUUCUUAGCUACUUCUGAGAUCUCAACUCAUAUCAGAAACAGCACCAACCAUUUCAGUGAAGGGUCAAGUGUGUAAAGGCGUUUGGAGCAGUCACGUUAAAAGGCAGGCAGGGGGUUGCCAAACCUUCUUGGAUAUGGAUAUCAUUGCAGAGGAUCCCUAGUCAAGCCUUACCAACAGCACAAUCCUAACAAUAUCUACUCAGAAAGCAUAUGCUCAUGUUAUCAGGCACUAUAUUGGAAGAUGUGUGAGAGAAGAUGAAAUGAUGAAAGUGAAAUGCCUUUUCUAUUAUGAUGCUUACUACCUGUGGUUUAAUUAAACCAGGAUGUAAAAAUCAAAGAGAGGAGACAUAUUACAGACCACCUGAAUGAAGCUUGCAGACCACUGGCAGUCCACAAACCACAGUUUAAGCUCUCCUUAAGGUCGCCAUGCUGAAACAAAGAAACUUCAAAGGGAGACUGCGAAAUUCAUGAAUUACAAUUCAUCAAGAGGUUCAAUGCUAUCACUUGUGGACUGAAUUGACACAAGGAAUUUAUUUUCACACUAAAUGUUUUAUUUGGCUUACCAAU